UUUAUCAUACGCUUUUAUGGCCGAGUGGCAGCACUUUCAUGCCAAUGUUCAACCAGAGAGGUCACACCUACCUUCUCAUAUAUGAUUUCAUUUGAGCUAGUAGCUGAAGGCAAAUUUGCACUGAACUUAUUGUGACACUGGUGUGUUUAGUUGUAGUUAAGUUGUUUCUUGGCAUCCUCCAAGCUGAAGCCUUUGAGCCGUUUUGCCACCGUCACUGUCACCAAAUCGCUGGAGAAUACGGGCAGCUCCUCCCUCCCCCUACCCCGGCCCCGUGCCUCGUCCUCCACCGAGCAAAGCGACGAAGCUACUUCGCCGUAGGGGGAGGGACCUCGGCACCGAGCCCCAACCGCGGCAUCGCUCGGAGCCUUGCGAUCAGGUCGUUUGAUUGGAACUGCCCGUGCAAGGACGGGAAGAAAUUGAUGGGAUGUGGAUGGCGGGCGACGCGGCCGAUACCCCGCACCGGAAGAUGGUUGGCGGAUUGCGCCAUUUGUGCGACUAAUCCUUCACCACGCCGUCCUUUUACUCGCCCGUGGCUAGUUCUAAUUGGAACUCCUGUCCGUGUAUUUUCUCACCUGUGUUCCUUUUUCCUCGCAAUCUUUUUCAUGUGGGAAAUGGAUGUUAAAUACUACUUCAAAUUCACUAGGGAAUGAAAACGACAGAGCUUAGUGAUGAGGAUACUGGAUAUCCGGGAUCAAGGAGCAAUCCAAGACAAAAAUAGGUCACGUUGGUUCCCAAUCUUUCUUUUGUUUUUCGAAUGGUUCCCAAUCUUCUUCGUGAACAAAUCGGAUUACAUAUGCCUGCGUAUAAUUUAGAGCAUUGCAGGGGGGAGAUCAUCUUGGUGCGUGGAGCACGGGAUAUGGUCAGCUUUACCUUUAGUGCUGGAGCUCUCCGGUUAGUGCCAGAAGGGUGCUGACUAGGAGUGACAGUGCGUCGGCACACGUGGCCCAAUGCUAACUGGAGGCCGAGCUUUGCACGUCCUAGUGCCGGUUGGAGGAGCACAAAGUCAGCAGCAAAGCCAUGGAAAAGGAGAUGGAGCCUCCAGCAAGCCCUAAGCCUUUUCCUCUGCAUCCUAUGCGAGGGGAUGGCGAUUGGAGCCGAGCCUCAUGAUGGCCGCGAGACAAAGCCUGGAACUAACAAAUCACGCACCAGAUCUGGAUAGCGGAAAGGAACGAGAGGGGAAAACAAUUGAGCUGUGCACGCGAUGGGAUUGAAAAAAAAUCAUGAAAGAUUGGAUUGGGCUGAGCACGGAGAUGUUUUGGGUCAACUCGUUUGUUAGUGUUGACCUACAAAUCUCCUCUUUUUUUAGUGGGAAAUCAUGCACUUACACCCCCAUGUUGAUGCGACUUGCAUGCGACCGUUGUUCAUUAAAUGAG
rnacentral:lncRNA from 1 species